GAAGGUGCAGCUGAGGAUUAUCCGUGACACAAGAAGUGCCAGGGGGCAUACAGCUGGUGUAGGCCUGCUGGAUCGCUGCAGUCAGCAUAACUGAGAGAAGCUUUGGGCUUGAAGGUCCUGAAACACAGGCACUCAACUCCCACGGGUAACAAUCAACUUGAAAAAUGAGCACGGUUGUUGUCAUCCCUGCUGCCAAUCUCAGCCUAGGUGUGCCUGGGCUACCCAGCUCUUGAACCACUUUCCCUCCUUCCUAUGGCAGUAGUGGGUGCAAUACUCCAAGGCUGCUCUUUUCAUCCAGGGAAAAGGAUCCAGCAGCGUCAGGAGCAGUUCUUUCCUUGAUCCUCUUCAGCUUAUUCACCUGGUCCCAAUUCCUACACUUCCUGAGCAAGCAGAAGUAUGUACAUGCAAAAAAAGUGAAAUAAAGGAAAGCUAGCUGAUCUGCCUGAGAGGAUGCAGAAGACAUGGUCAAGGAUGAGAUACAAUGAGAGGGAAAAGACUUCAUAAAGUUCUGAGGAACUUUCUUUUCAUACCCAAACUUUUGAAGACUUAAUUGCUCCAAGCCCUGGAACUAUUUACAUGUUAUUCACCUUUCUUUGAAACAGUUUUUGGGGGUUUUUUUGAACUAUCCAAAUUUUUCAAAUCUACUGCCAGUCAUUUUCUCAUCUGACAUUUUCUGGACAAUCUUAUUUGAAAUAAAUUACAGUGAAGUUCGCCAUCUAGUUGCUAAGCCUUGAAGUACAUCACAAAUAAUGAUAUGGGCAAGUAUUUUCUACAUACGAACAGAUAUUCUCACAAUUCAGUCAGUUUUCCAACACUGGAUGUCACUUCUGCAGACCCAGUAUUAUGGUCUCCAAAUACUCAAGCCUGCCUGUUUGUAUAUAUAGUCAAUAACAGGUGCAAAUAUUGUUAGUUAGGUCCAUAUUAUUAGUGGUAAUUAAGUUUAUAAUGGAACCAACCAAGAAUGGGGUCCAAUUCUGAUAAGACCUGCACAGACCCCAGGUAGAAGACAGCUGCUAUCCCAGAAAGAUUUUGCUACAUUUGAAAAGCUUUCCUUGAAGUCCAGCACAUGUACAAAUCUCAGGGACAGGUAAUAGGUGAAUAAAUGUGCCUGCAAAAAAGGAAGCUGAACUUAAUUCAGCCAGAAAAUCUGGCACCAAAUGUGUACAAUUCAUGCACUUGAAUAUAUAAAUUUAAUUAAAAACCAGAAGCUUACUUGCUUGAUGUUCCAUGCAAAUUAGUCAAUAAUGUAAAGUUGUUUCUCACACUUCGUAAACUUGCCAGGACCUAAAUUAAACACAAAUAAAUAUUGUAUGAUUCUUAUAAACAUGCACUUUUUCAAAGCAUGCCUUAACAUGGGACAGUAGAUGCCAAUGUACUACCUUUCAUUCACACAUGUAUAAAUAUAUAGAGAUAUUUAUACACAAGAUAGCACUUUGUAGACCAAAAGAAUAUGUGAAAUUUACCUGUGCAAAAGGUGUAACAAUCAGGUCAUCACCAUGUCUAAUAAAAAA